GAUGAACGCUGGCGGCGUGCCUAAUACAUGCAAGUCGAGCGAACGGACGAGAAGCUUGCUUUUCUGAUGUUAGCGGCGGACGGGUGAGUAACACGUGGAUAACCUACCUAUAAGACUGGGAUAACUUCGGGAAACCGGAGCUAAUACCGGAUAAUAUUUUGAACCGCAUGGUUCAAAAGUGAAAGACGGUCUUGCUGUCACUUAUAGAUGGAUCCGCGCUGCAUUAGCUAGUUGGUAAGGUAACGGCUUACCAAGGCAACGAUGCAUAGCCGACCUGAGAGGGUGAUCGGCCACACUGGAACUGAGACACGGUCCAGACUCCUACGGGAGGCAGCAGUAGGGAAUCUUCCGCAAUGGGCGGAAGCCUGACGGAGCAACGCCGCGUGAGUGAUGAAGGUCUUCGGAUCGUAAAACUCUGUUAUUAGGGAAGAACAUAUGUGUAAGUAACUGUGCACAUCUUGACGGUACCUACUCAGAAAGCCACGGCUAACUACGUG
rnacentral:rRNA from 1 species